rnacentral:misc_RNA from 1 species
UACGUAGGUGGCAAGCGUUGUCCGGAAUUAUUGGGCGUAAAGCGCGCGCAGGCGGCCUCUUAAGUCUGAUGUGAAAGCCCCCGGCUCAACCGGGGAGGGCCAUUGGAAACUGGGAGGCUUGAGUAUAGGAGAGAAGAGUGGAAUUCCUAGUGUAGAGGUGAAGUUCGUAGAGAUGUGGAGGAACACCAGUGGCGAAGGCGACUCUUUGGUCUGUAACUGACGCUGAGGCGCGAAAGCGUGGGGAGCGAACAGG